CUCGUAAUCGACCGAUAGUGAACUAGUACCGUGAGGGGAAAGGCGAAAAAGAACCCCGGGAGGGGAGUGAAAUAGAUCCUGAAACCCGCAUGCAUACAAACAGUCGGAGCCUGGAAACGGGUGACGGCGUACCUUUUGUAUAAUGGGUCAGCGACUUACAUUCAGUGGCAAGGUUAACCGAAUAGGGAAGCCGUAGAGAAAUCGAGUCCGAAUAGGGCGUUCAGUCGCUGGGUGUAGACCCGAAACCAAGUGAUCUAUUCAUGGCCAGGAUGAAGGUGAGGUAACACUUACUGGAGGUCCGAACCGACUAGUGUUAGCAAAAACUAGCGGAUGAGCUGUGGAUAGGGGUGAAAGGCUAAAACAAACUUGGAAAUAGCUGGUUCUCUCCGAAAACUAUUUAGGUAGUGCCUCAAGUAUUACCAUCGGGGUAGAGCACUGUUAUGGCUAGGGGGUCA
rnacentral:rRNA from 1 species